UUAAAAGGGGAAGGCAUAGGAGAAAAGCCAAGGGUGACUCAUAGAUCUCUAACCUGGAACAUGACAAGGAAAACAGCCCACAAAACAGAGGUGAACUGAGGGCACACACCACCAAUGAACGAAAAUCUGAUGAUGACUCUCCUCCAUCCAUGUGAAAGAAAACAAUGCCUGGGAAUAGCAGAGGAACAAGGGAAAACUCUGCAUUACUAAUCCAUGGAGCAGCCAUAACAGCCCUAGUAUGCUUCUCAUGCAACUUAGGGUCCAGAUAUGUGGAGCCUCACAGGGUUGUAAAGGCAAUAGCACCGCUACUCUGGUGAUUCUGAAGAAGCAACCUUAGCAGAAGAUAAGCCCAUAACCCAAGAUUGUCUCAAGUACUUCCCAGUAAGUGCCCUCUGCCAGGUUACUGGUCAUUUGUAACUGGUCACUAUUCCAAACUGUGAAGACAAGAAGCUUCUUAAAACACUCAAUUGUCAGACUGGAGGCAUAUCUCCUGCCUUUCAACCCAAAUCCUGCUUAAAGAACCCUACUACACAACUGCCAGAAUUGCAGAAUGACAGUGACAGAGACAGUGAAGUGGACUGGGGCACACCUGGAGA